rnacentral:rRNA from 1 species
GGUAAGAGAGGGGCGGCGUGCGCGGUAGGCCACAGGGUGGAAAGGUGGUUGGGAGUUACUGGGCGUAAAGCGCGUGUGGGCUGGUCGGAAAGACGGAGGUGAAAGGACUGGGCUAAACCUAGGAAGUGCAUUCGAAGCUUCCGAGCUCGUGUCCUGGAGAGGAAGGCGGAAUUCUCGGUGUAGAGGUGAAAUUCGUAGAUAUCGAGAGGAACACCGGUGGCGAAGGCGGCCUUCUGGACAGCGACUGACGCUGAGACGCGAAAGCGUGGGGAGCAAACAGGAUUAGAUACCCCGGUCGUC